rfam:Otolemur garnettii contig050236, whole genome shotgun sequence.
AAGACUUACUAUUACUAGAGGAGCUUCUCUGAAUUUGUAGAGCACCAGCAACCAUGAGAAGGAGGCGCAGGGGUCUCUCCUGAGCAAGAAGCCGGCUCUUGGCAUUGCUUUGCUGCAAAUAGUGACGUGACCACAACCCAACUGCAAAGGAGGCUGGGAAAUGUAGUCUUUAUUGUGGGUGGCUGCCCGCCAGGCUGAGGAUCAUCUGCCAUUGAUGAUCGUUCUUCUCUUCCUUCAGGAGAGUAAGAGGGAGAUGUAGUCUAAGUGUU